rnacentral:rRNA from 1 species
GUAGGGGAGCGUUCUGUAAGCCUGUGAAGGUGGCCUGUGAGGGUUGCUGGAGGUAUCAGAAGUGCGAAUGCUGACAUAAGUAACGAUAAAGCGGGUGAAAAGCCCGCUCGCCGGAAGACCAAGGGUUCCUGUCCAACGUUAAUCGGGGCAGGGUGAGUCGACCCCUAAGGCGAGGCCGAAAGGCGUAGUCGAUGGGAAACGGGUUAAUAUUCCCGUACUUGGUGUUACUGCGAAGGGGGGACGGAGAAGGCUAUGUUGGCCGGGCGACGGUUGUCCCGGUUUAAGCGUGUAGGUGUGUGUUCCAGGUAAAUCCGGUUCACUUUAACACUGAGGCGUGACGACGAGGCACUACGGUGCUGAAGCAACAAAUGCCCUGCUUCCAGGAAAAGCCUCUAAGCAUCAGGUAACAUCAAAUCGUACCCCAAACCGACACAGGUGGUCAGGUAGAGAAUACCAAGGCGCUUGAGAGAACUCGGGUGAAGGAACUAGGCAAAAUGGUGCCGUAACUUCGGGAGAAGGCACGCUGACACGUAGGUGAAGUGAUUUACUCAUGGAGCUGAAGUCAGUCGAAGAUACCAGCUGGCUGCAACUGUUUAUUAAAAACACAGCACUGUGCAAACACGAAAGUGGACGUAUACGGUGUGACGCCUGCCCGGUGCCGGAAGGUUAAUUGAUGGGGUCAGCGCAAGCGAAGCUCCUGAUCGAAGCCCCGGUAAACGGCGGCCGUAACUAUAACGGUCCUAAGGUAGCGAAAUUCCUUGUCGGGUAAGUUCCGACCUGCACGAAUGGCGUAAUGAUGGCCAGGCUGUCUCCACCCGAGACUCAGUGAAAUUGAACUCGCUGUGAAGAUGCAGUGUACCCGCGGCAAGACGGAAAGACCCCGUGAACCUUUACUAUAGCUUGACACUGAACAUUGAGCCUUGAUGUGUAG